GGGGGGAAAUUAAUAAAUUAUAAAUAAUAAAAAAAUUUUUGAUAUUGGGGGGUAUUGAAGUAUUUUUUUUAAAAAAAAUAAUUUAAUUUAUAGAAAAUUAGUAUUGUAAAAUAAAUUUGAAAUAGUUGAAAAUAAAUUAAUAAUAAAGUAAUUUUUGUUUAAUGUAUCUUGUGUAUCAGAGUUUAUUAAAAAAUAUUUUUUAAAUAAAAAAAUCUCGAAUUUAAAAGAGUUAAUUAAUUAUAAAAGUUAAUGUAGAAAAAUUAUUUUAAAUAAUUAAUUUGAAAUGAAAUGUUAAUCGUUUUUAAAUAUAUCUAGUUAUUUUAGAAAAAAAUUUAAUUUUAAAUUUAAAAAAUUUUAUUUUUAAUUAUAAUUAAAAAUAAAAUUUUUAAAAUUAAAUAUAUUAAGGGAUAAGCUUUAUUAUAAAAAUUUAUAAAAAAAAAAUAAAUUAAAAAUAAAAAUUUUAAGAUUUAUAUUGUUUAAAAAUUAUAAUUUGUUAAAAAAAAUUUUAUUUUUAAUAAAAUUUAAUAAAAAAUUUAAUUUUAUAUAAAAUAAUAAUAAGAAUAAAAAAAAAUUAGUAAUAAUGAUAAAAUUAGUAUAUUAUAUUAAAAUAAUAAUUUAAUUAAUUUAAAUUAAAUUAAAGGAAUUCGGCAAAAUUAUAUAUUCACUUGUUUAUCAAAAACAUGUCUUUUAGUUAAUAAUUUAAAGUCUAAUCUGCCCACUGAUAAUUAUAUUAAAGGGCUGCAGUAUAUUGACUGUACAAAGGUAGCAUAAUCAUUAGUCUUUUAAUUGAAGACUUGUAUGAAAGAUUUGAUGAAAUAUAAACUGUCUCUAGUUUAAAGUUAAAAUUUAAUUUUUUAGUUAAAAAGCUAAAAUAAAUUUAAAAGACGAGAAGACCCUAUAGAGUUUUAUAUUAAAAUUAUUUAAGAUUAUAAAUAUAAAUAAAAAUUAAAAAUAAAAUUAAUAUUUUAUUGGGGUGAUAAAAAAAUUAAUAUAACUUUUUUUAAAAAAAGCCAUAAAUAAAUGAUUAAUUGAUCCAUUUUUUAUGAUUAAAAGAAAAAAUUACCUUAGGGAUAACAGCGUAAUAUUUUUUUUUAGUACAAAUAAAAAAAAAAGUUUGCGACCUCGAUGUUGGAUUAAGAUAAAAUUUGAAUGUAAAAGUUUAAAAUUUUGAUCUGUUCGAUCAUUAAAAUCUUACAUGAUCUGAGUUCAAACCGGUGUGAGCCAGGUUGGUUUCUAUCUUUAAAACAAAUAAAUAUUUUAGUACGAAAGGAUCAGAUAUUUUUAAUAAUUAAAAUUUAAUGAAUAUUAAUAAUAAUAAUAAAUUAU
rnacentral:rRNA from 1 species